UACAGAGGUCUCAAACGUUGUUCGGAUUCAUUGGGCGUAAAGGGUGCGUAGGCGGCGCGGUAAGUCGGGUGUGAAAUCUCGGAGCUUAACUCCGAAACUGCAUUCGAUACUGCCGUGCUUGAGGACUGGAGAGGAGACUGGAAUUUACGGUGUAGCGGUGAAAUGCGUAGAUAUCGUAAGGAAGACCAGUGGCGAAGGCGGGUCUCUAGACAGUUCCUGACGCUGAGGCACGAAGGUCAGGGGAGCAAACGGG
rnacentral:rRNA from 1 species